ACUACCUCAGUAGUACGUCCUUUACUAUCUCUUUCAGAUAUGAUUCUACUGUGAAGCUGCGUGCAGUGGGAACCUGUGAUGGUGUGUUUUCCGGCCAAACGAGCAAUCUGGCGCUUUGCUGUCUCCAAGGGAGUUUGGUGAGGUUUUGAACGAAGUGUGCAGCCUGGAGAAGGGUCACAAGCCCACGUUUGACUCCAUUUCUCGCCGUUUAAAGCAUCAAGGAAGAUUGAAAUCGAGGACAAGAGCAGAAGGCGUACAGGUGCUCAGCAUCUGACCGGUCUCUCUCUCUCCCUCUCGCUCAAUGCUGCCAGGGUCCUGGGUCUUGCCGAUUAAAGCAUUGAAGAAGAUUGAAAUCGAGGACAAGAGCGGAAGGUGUACAGGUGCUCAGCACCUGACUGGUCUCUCUCUCUCCCUCGCGCUCGAUACUGCCAGAGUUGUGGGUCUUGCACAAGGUUGAAUCGAUGCGGUUUGUGAAUUGGACUCUGUGUUCACGUUACGACGUCUUUCCGGUUUCUGGUCACUCAUUUUUGUCGCUGUUUUGUGCCAUUUUGAUCGGGGCACACUGGCUCGGCAGUUGCAUUCAACGAACGACACAAUGCUACAUUGAACUGAACUGAACUGGGCUGGGUGUUCCUGAAAUGUUUCGAUACCUUUGUGGUUUGACGUUUUAUAUUCUGUGCUUUUCACUCACUUUUUUUGCUCUUUUCGUGAUUUGUUCCUUUGUUUUGCGUUUUGGGGGUUUAACGUUUUUCUUUACGGUGUUCUUUGUGGCUGUCUACAGGAAGACGAAUCUCAGCAUUGUAUACUGCGUACCUUGAUAAUAAACGUAAUCUGAAUCUCAGGGUCAAGGAUGUGGACGAUCUGUUCUAUGAUCUGCAUUGGAAGGCCAGUGACCUGGACGUCGGGAUGAAGGACAGCUGUGGAUGUUGGGCUAUCCCAGGACAGUGGGUCCCAAGAUUGGAUAUCCACGCGGGCAGGAGGCCGAGGAAGCACACGGGCUGCUCAGUCGACACACCUGGAGUUCGGGUCCUGACAUCGGCUAGUUCAAGGGUCAAUACCAAAGAUCAAAGCCAAAAGGUCAAUCAGAAAUCGAGGCCCACAGGCCCGUGGCUGGAGGACUUUGCGCGUGUGUGGGGAUGUCCAUCUAUUGUGAUGCAUCAUUUGUGUCAAAUCAAAUCAGUGAGGAUGUGCUGGGGGCAGCCCACGAGUGUCGCCACGCUUCCGACGCCAACAUAGCAUGCCCGCAGCUCACUAACUCUUUGGAACAUGGGAGGAAACCGGAGCACUUGGAGGAAUCCCACGCGGUCACAGGGAGAAGAUGUUUCAAGUUCUUCAGGGAAUCUGAACAAGUUCCAAGGAGAAACAGAGAGUGGGAUUUGACUUUGGCACUGCUCGACAACAUUGGGACUGGUCAAGGAACAAUCCCUCCCAACGCCUUCUCCCCCACAAUCCCUCCCAACACCUUCUCCCCACAAUCCCUCCCAACGUCUUCUCCCCCAC